GCGGCCGUGACGAAAUUGGUAGCACGUGCACGCUUGAGGGGCGUGUGAGCUUAGCUCGUGUGGGUUCGAGUCCCAUCGGCCGCA
rnacentral:tRNA from 1 species